GUGAGGAAUAUUGCGCAAUGGAGGCAACUCUGACGCAGCCAUGCCGCGUGCAGGAAGAAGGCGCUACGCGUUGUAAACUGCUUUUAACCGGGAAGAAACCCCAGGACGUGUCCUGGGUUGACGGUACCGGAGGAAUAAGCACCGGCUAACUUCGUGCCAGCAGCCGCGGUAAUACGAAGGGUGCAAGCGUUAUCCGGAUUCAUUGGGUUUAAAGGGUGCGUAGGCGGAGCGUUAAGUCAGUGGUGAAAUCCUGCAGCUUAACUGUAGACUUGCCAUUGAUACUGGCGCGCUUGAGUGCGCUUGAAGUGGGCGGAAUGUGCCGUGUAGCGGUGAAAUGCUUAGAGAUGGCACAGAACACCAAUUGCGAAGGCAGCUCACUAAGGCGAUACUGACGCUGAGGCACGAAAGCGUGGGGAUCGAACAGGAUUAGAUACCCCAGUAGUCC
rnacentral:rRNA from 1 species